CUAUAGUCAAUCUGCACCUGCAAAAUCAGGUGCCGGGAUUCGAAACCCCGGAUA
rnacentral:ncRNA from 1 species